AGAUGAAUGGAAAAUGAACUUGCCAGUUCACAGCUAUGUCCUUCCCAAUUUAGGAGGUUAAGGGCAGGAAAAACAUGAGAAACUCUUUUGAGAAGCUGCACAAGCUGACAUGGAGGAUCAAGGAUUUCAAAAGCUUUGAAUAUAAAGAGGUGUCAGACUUACAUCAGAGCCUGAGACUUGACAUGCCUAUUUUUGCACUCGCUCAUUUUUCAAAUUUCAUAGGCAUUGCUCCCUCCAAAUCACCGCUCUUCUAAUUUUAUCCUGGAGUGUGCAUCCCAGAAGACAUAAGCUGACACAAUUGGGAACUGAAGUUGCUUGAAAAAGCUGGUGGGAUCAGCAUCAUAUAUCACUAUUUCUCAAAGAUUAUCUGGUCUCUUGAUGGCAAAUCUACAAUAUUGAAACCUUUGAAAGAGAAAUUGUGUUUUGUGAGUUACAUGACUACCGUUUGCAUCCAAGGUCUCCUCUGUAGUCAAGAGAAGAAUGCAGAAACUACAUGUCCAAGAAUCUCUUUCCAGACUCUAGACAGCUUAUACGUAUUUGGACAAGGCAACGUGAUGAAGAAAUAAUAUAAUUGUAGGAUCACCUCUGUCCAGUAGCUGUUAUCCAACAUCUGCAUACUUAGAUUUCUGGAGAGCCCUAUGCCUUCACAAGAACAAGUUCCCACACCAGGGUCAAGAAGGAAACCGUAAGUCAAGACAAAAGUGCCCAGUGAAGGCAGAAGAUGAGGGGUCUCAGGUUGCAUCUUCGGAGGCACGAGGAUUCAAAGGUGAACAAAGCACACAGUACAUCAUUUGAUGUGGACAGUCAAUAUUUUUUCCCUGAGUUUGAAAAAAUCAUUUUCAAAUGUUCACUGGCAAAUCUGGAUAACAGCAGGCUCCUCCCACGCAUGCAGACCCUGACCACAAAGCAGACAAAUUCUCCUGUUUCCCAGGCUGGAGUGCAGUGGUGCGAUCUGGGCUCACUUCAUCCUAUGCCUCCCAGGCUCAAGCGAUCCUCCUGCCUCCACCACUGGAAUAACUGGGACUACAAACUCACACCACCAUGCCUAGUUAAUUUCUGUAUCUUUUUGAGUAGAGAUAGUGUUUUGCCAUGUUAUCCAGGGUGGCCUCCAACCCGGGAGCUCAAGCCAUCCACCCUCUUCGGCCUCCCAAAGUGCUGGGAUUGCAAGCAUGAGCCACUGCACUGGCUAAUUCUUUAUUUUAAUGUUCAUGUUUUCAUUAGGCAAUUUCAGUACACCCAAGUGUAUUUUGAGAAGUGAUUCACUUUUAAUCUCUCCUAGUUUCUUUCAAUUAUGGCCGCAAAAUUCAUUAACGUUGUAUGACUGAUUUAAGGAAAUGCUGUUGCAUUAGUGAGUAUCUACUUUUAUAAACCUAAAAUAGUUUCUUACCUCAUGUCUCCUUACAAUCAUCUGAUUAUAGACAGUAUCAAUUCUAUGAACUUGCAUACUUCCAAAAA
rnacentral:lncRNA from 1 species